UACGGAGGGUGCGAGCGUUAAUCGGAAUUACUGGGCGUAAAGCGUGCGUAGGCGGCCCGUUAAGCCGGAUGUGAAAGCCCUGGGCUCAACCUGGGAACGGCAUUCGGGACUGGCGGGCUAGAGUUUGGUAGAGGGGAGUGGAAUUUCAGGUGUAGCGGUGAAAUGCGUAGAGAUCUGAAGGAACACCAGUGGCGAAGGCGACUCCCUGGACCAGAACUGACGCUGAGGUACGAAAGCGUGGGUAGCAAACAGG
rnacentral:rRNA from 1 species